rnacentral:rRNA from 1 species
GACGUAGGAGGCGAGCGUUGUCCGGAUUCAUUGGGCGUAAAGAGCACGCAGGCGGUUUGGCAAGUCGGACGUGAAAAUCCGGGGCUCAACCCCGGACCUGCAUCCGAAACUGCCCGACUAGAGGUAGGUAGGGGAGAUCGGAAUUCCUGGUGUAGCGGUGAAAUGCGCAGAUAUCAGGAGGAAUACCGGUGGCGAAGGCGGAUCUCUGGGCCUUACCUGACGCUCAGGUGCGAAAGCUAGGGGAGCGAACAGG